rnacentral:misc_RNA from 1 species
GAUGAAGAACGCAGCGAAAUGCGAUAACUAAUGUGAAUUGCAGAAUUCAGUGAAUCAUCGAGUCUUUGAACGCACAUUGCGCCCUCUGGUAAUCCGGAGGGCAUGCCUGUCCGAGCGUCAUUGCUGCCCUCCAGCCCGGCUGGUGUGUUGGGCCCCGUCCCCCUUCCCGGGGGGACGGGCCCGAAAGGCCGCGGCGGCACCGCGUCCGGUCCUCGAGCGUAUGGGGCUUUGUCACCCGCUCUUGUAGGCCCGGCCGGCGCCAGCCGACCCCCUCAAUCUACUUUUCAGGUUGACCUCGGAUCAGGUAGGGAUACCCGCUGAACUUAAGCAUAUCAAUAAGCGGAGGA